rnacentral:rRNA from 1 species
UGGGGAAUUUUGGACAAUGGGCGAAAGCCUGAUCCAGCAAUGCCGCGUGUGUGAAGAAGGCCUUCGGGUUGUAAAGCACUUUUGUCCGGAAAGAAAUCCUUGGCUCUAAUACAGUCGGGGGAUGACGGUACCGGAAGAAUAAGCACCGGCUAACUACGUGCCAGCAGCCGCGGUAAUACGUAGGGUGCAAGCGUUAAUCGGAAUUACUGGGCGUAAAGCGUGCGCAGGCGGUUUGCUAAGACCGAUGUGAAAUCCCCGGGCUCAACCUGGGAACUGCAUUGGUGACUGGCAGGCUAGAGUAUGGCAGAGGGGGGUAGAAUUCCACGUGUAGCAGCGAAAUGCGUAGAGAUGUGGAGGAAUACCGAUGGCGAAGGCAGCCCCCUGGGCCAAUACUGACGCUCAUGCACGAAAGCGUGGGGAGCAAACAGGAUUAGAUACCCUGGUAGUCCACGCCCUAAACGAUGUCAACUAGUUGUUGGGGAUUCAUUUCCUUAGUAACGUAGCUAACGCGUGAAGUUGACCGCCUGGGGAGUACGGUCGCAAGAUUAAAACUCAAAGGAAUUGACGGGGUCAUAGCUGUUUCCU